GCUCUGCCACUCCCCGGCCGUGCCCGAGCCCCACGCCCGGAGCGGGCAGAGCGGCCGGGACGGACACAGCUCCGGGGCUCCCGCCUGCCGGCCCGGCACAGCCCGCCCCGCCUCCGCACGGCUCUGCCGCUCCCCGGCAGCUGCCCGGCCGCCAAAUUCCCGCUGCCCCUCAGCAAUUCCCCGGGGAAUGCCAGGAGUGCUCCCGUGUCGGGUGUAACAGGGCAAAAGGAUAAACCUCAGGAUAAUGCAAAUGGGGGAGCAUUUCAAGGGUUUAAAGCUGUAUUUCAGGGCACUUCUACCCACACCCCGGCACCAAAUAUUUCCAGCUGGGGCUAGGCCAGCAGGUAUGUAAUGGUAAUGCCACCUGGGAGUCCAUUCCUUUUCUUAUUUUCAUUUAUAACGUAGAGAGCCCUGAUUAAAGGUCCCUAUGAGACACCAUCCAAAUCAAUACUAUUCUUCCCCACCCUAAUUAAUCACAGGUGGAAUGCUACUUAGUAAUCACUGAAAAAUAAUUAUGGAAGCCCAUAAAUUAUCCAACUUAGCUGGCAACACUGCUGAAACACCAAGUUUUUCUUCUCACCUUUUUUUUUUGUCCUUUGCUCCAUUGUUCUGAGUAAUUGUAGCAAAAAAGAAAACAGUGUUUUUUCCCAAAGAGUUUUCUUCUACACAGAGCUCCUUACCUGAAAUUUAACUCAGAGAAGCCAAACAGCUACGGUCCCUCUGAGGGCCUUUAUACCCGGUGGGAUUUGCCGCCUCCCCUUUCCCAGGCAUCGUGGGAAAAAGAGGCGGGCCCAAUUAGGGGUAUAUUAACCCCAGGCUGUGCUAAGGGGCAUUAUUCCUUCCAGGGGAAUCAGCAGGGGUAAAGAGCUCCUCUCUCAUUUCAGUGAAGAGGCUCUUUCAACUUAUUUUAGCCUGCUAAAAGUGGGCAUAUUUUGGGCAUUUGAAGCAGCAGAAGUUUUGAAAACACCUUCAAAAAAACAAUAUUGAAUACAGGGAGUAUUUAAGUUUAUGAUUUUGGGUUGGGGGUUCAGG
rnacentral:lncRNA from 1 species